UGUGAUACCGUUCAUCGCUCAAAUUUAAUAUUAUUCGCAAUGUUUAUCAUAAAACAAAAUAAUUAUCUUAAAUUGAUAUCAUAACAUAAUCACUGAUGUAAUUAAUACAAUGUAUGUACUUGUUCAGUUUAAAAUUAAUAUUUGUAUCAUAAAUGUAAACACUGUAAAUUAAUCUACAAAGACAAUGUAUUAAGUAACAGUAUCCCUAACAAAAAUCAUAUGUACCACAACCAAUGUAAUAUAUUAUCCCUGCUUAUAAUUUUCGUUUCAAUAAAGAUGAGAGCCCUGGUGGUCAAUUCCUACAUUUUGGUGACAUAUAUAGAUCAUAGAUUUCAUAUAAAAAGCCGUAAAAAGCUAUAAAAUAUGGACAUUCCACUUCUCAAGCCUAGAAUCAAAUGAAGCAAUAGACCACCAAUCUCUCAAACAUUCAGAAAGAAAAACUUGUCAGUCUUAUUCAUUUCAAUUCCACAAAAACAUUAUAAAGUCAUUAAAUAUAUUCAAAAACCCGAUCCAGUGUCUUUUUAAAGUAUAUUUCUGUUUUCGUGUAUUGAACCAAAAAAAUGGAACAAUUAAAACAAAAAAUGAAUAAUCAAGCCAAAGGCAUGGAAUACAUUAAAAUGUCUGACCUGGUAGAGAAUCAUGUCUAUCGAAUGGUUUCAUUGAAAAAUUUGACAACGAAAAAUGGUAUUGUGGUGGUGUCACGGAUGCCCGACAACCGACAAGUUUUUGUCACCAGAAUACAGUUGACGGACGAUGAAAUUAAAACGUACAACGACGGCGACACCAAAAUGUCUCUGUGUUACAGAGGAAAAACGGAAAAUGCUUAUUAAUUUGAUUUUCAAUAAAAUUUUUUUAAUGUAUUAACUUUACUUUCUUUUAUAAUCAACAAAAUCUGUUUAUAUUUUUUUCUAAUGAUUCAUGUACAACAAAUUAAAUUGAAUUAAAAUUGUAUAGUUCGUUUACAAUCUAUUUGUGUUUACAUUAUUACUCCGAUAGUAUAGAACCUAAUA